rnacentral:rRNA from 1 species
GUGUGUGAGGCCCCUAGAGAUUUUGGGCCGCACGCGCGCUACACUGAGAGAGCCAGAGAGUUUUUUUCCUUGGCCGGAAGGUCUGGGUAAUCUUGUGAAACUCCGUCGUGCUGGGGAUAGAGCAUUGCAAUUAUUGCUCUUCAACGAGGAAUACCUAGUAAGCGUAGUCAUCAGCUGCGUGAUACGUCCCGCCCUU